rnacentral:rRNA from 1 species
AGUGAACGCUGGCGGUAGGCCUAACACAUGCAAGUCGAACGGCAGCACAGUAAGAGCUUGCUCUUACGGGUGGCGAGUGGCGGACGGGUGAGGAAUACAUCGGAAUCUACUUUUUCGUGGGGGAUAACGUAGGGAAACUUACGCUAAUACCGCAUACGACCUACGGGUGAAAGCAGGGGUUCUUCGGACCUUGCGCGAUUGAAUGAGCCGAUGUCGGAUUAGCUAGUUGGCGGGGUAAAGGCCCACCAAGGCGACGAUCCGUAGCUGGUCUGAGAGGAUGAUCAGCCACACUGGAACUGAGACACGGUCCAGACUCCUACGGGAGGCAGCAGUGGGGAAUAUUGGACAAUGGGCGCAAGCCUGAUCCAGCCAUACCGCGUGGGUGAAGAAGGCCUUCGGGUUGUAAAGCCCUUUUGUUGGGAAAGAAAAGCAGCAUGUUAAUACCCCGCUGUUCUGACGGUACCCAAAGAAUAAGCACCGGCUAACUUCGUG